AGGUAGGAGCUGGACUACUCUGAGGUCAGAGAACUGAAGCUCUGAUGGUGCCAUUUACACUUCUGUUACAACCGUGACUCAGCACCAAGAAAAGCGUGUAGGAACAUGGAUUGCAGUGGAGUUUCACUACAGAAUUACUGCAUCCUAGGAAAAAUGUUCUGGAAACCUCCAGUGGGUAUUCAUUCACUCGUUGAUUGAGAAAGACUUCGUUCACAUUUGUCACUUCUGGACCAAGGUAAGCAGUCAAGGAACUAAGGAUGCAGUUACAGCCCUGUCUUUAAUACUAUAUAUAUUUAUAUGUAUUCAUUUUUGCUAGUAAGAUCUUUGAAGCAAAAAAUUUCUGACUAUAGUUUUGUUCAAAAUGUAGAAUUUAAAAAUAAAGCAAAAACAAACAAACAAACAAACAAACAAACAAAAAAACCCCAAACAAACGUACUUUUUAAGUACACCCCGUGCAAGAUAUACCUAUACAUGUAUUCAC
rnacentral:lncRNA from 1 species